rnacentral:ncRNA from 1 species
UAAUAUUUUAUUUUGGUAAACUGAUUUUUUAUCUCUUUUUUUUUUAUGUAAAUUGUUGUGUAAUUCUAUUUGAUAUGAAAAAAGCAAUAAUUAUUAUUAUUAAUUUAUAGUGAAAACUAGAUAUAUAAAUAGAAUUUAAGUUUAACAAAUUUUGUGCCAGCAGUUGCGGUUAUACAAUUAAACUAGGAAAAUUUUUAAAAUGAAUUAAUACUUUGCAAUUUUAAAAUAAUUUUUAUAAUUUUUAGGUAAAAUUUAAUUUUUAAAAGUAUUUUUAUAAUAAGUAAUUUAAGAAAUUAAUGUAAAAAGUAGGAUUAGAUACCCUAUUAUUUAAAUGUAAAUUUAUUGGAGUAGUAUAUGUUAUUAUCUUUAAACUCAAAAAAUUUGGCGGUAUUUUAUCUUACUAGAGGAAUCUGUUUAUUAAUUGAUAACCCACAACUUUUAUUUACUUUUAUUAUUUAAUUUGUAUACCGUUGUCAUGAAUAUAUUAAAAAAUAAUUUUCAAAACUUUUUAUUGAAUUUAUGUUAGAUCAAGGUGCAGUUUUUAAAAGAUUAAAAUGGAUUACUUUAAUUAUGAUGAAUGGAUAAUUUAAUUAUUUUAGAUUUAAAAUGGGAUUUAGUAGUAAAUUUAUAUGUAAAGUGUUAGUAUGAAAUUAGAUUCUAAAAUAUGUACAUAUUGCCCGUCGCUCUUGUUUAAAAUAAGAUAAGUCGUAACAUAGUAGGUGUACUGGAAAGUGUACCUGGGAUUAUU